AUUGAACGCUGGCGGCAGGCCUAACACAUGCAAGUCGAGCGGAUGACGGGAGCUUGCUCCUUGAUUCAGCGGCGGACGGGUGAGUAAUGCCUAGGAAUCUGCCUGGCAGUGGGGGACAACGUUUCGAAAGGAACGCUAAUACCGCAUACGUCCUACGGGAGAAAGCAGGGGACCUUCGGGCCUUGCGCUAUCAGAUGAGCCUAGGUCGGAUUAGCUAGUUGGUGAGGUAAUGGCUCACCAAGGCGACGAUCCGUAACUGGUCUGAGAGGAUGAUCAGUCACACUGGAACUGAGACACGGUCCAGACCCCUACGGGAGGCAGCAGUGGGGAAUAUUGGACAAUGGGCGAAAGCCUGAUCCAGCCAUGCCGCGUGUGUGAAGAAGGUCUUCGGAUUGUAAAGCACUUUAAGUUGGGAGGAAGGGCAGUAAGUUAAUACCUUGCUGUUUUGACGUUACCGACAGAAUAAGCACCGGCUAACUCUGUGCCAGCCGCCGCCGUAACAC
rnacentral:rRNA from 1 species